rnacentral:rRNA from 1 species
UUGAACGCUGGCGGCAGGCCUAACACAUGCAAGUCGUGCGGAUGAAGGGAGCUUGCUCCUGGAUUCAGCGGCGGACGGGCGAGUAAUGCCUAGGAAUCUGCCUGGUUGUGGGGGAUAACGUCCGGAAACGGGCGCUAAUACCGCAUACGUCCUGAGGGAGCAAGUGGGGGAUCUUCGGACCUCACGCUAUCAGAUGAGCCUAGGUCGGAUUAGCUAGUUGGUGGGGUAAAGGCCUACCAAGGCGACGAUCCGUAACUGGUCUGAGAGGAUGAUCAGUCACACUGGAACUGAGACACGGUCCAGACUCCUACGGGAGGCAGCAGUGGGGAAUAUUGGACAAUGGGCGAAAGCCUGAUCCAGCCAUGCCGCGUGUGUGAAGAAGGUCUUCGGAUUGUAAAGCACUUUAAGUUGGGAGGAAGGGCAGUAAGUUAAUACCUUGCUGUUUUGACGUUACCAACAGAAUAAGCACCGGCUAACUUCGUG